GCAUCUGUGGCCGAGUGGCUGAAGGCAACGGACUCAUAAUCCGUCGACAGAAUUGUCAUCGCUGGUUCGAAUCCAGCCGGAUGCA
rnacentral:tRNA from 1 species